rnacentral:rRNA from 1 species
GAUGAACGCUAGCGACAGGCUUAACACAUGCAAGUCGAGGGGCAGCAAGAAUUGUAGCAAUACAAUUUGUUGGCGACCGGCGCACGGGUGAGUAACGCGUGAGCAAUCUGCCUUCAAGAGGGGGACAACAGCUGGAAACGGCUGCUAAUACCGCAUAACAUAUAUUUGUGGCAUCACAGAUAUAUCAAAGGAGAAAUCCGCUUGAAGAUGAGCUCGCGACCCAUUAGCUAGUUGGCGGGGUAGAGGCCCACCAAGGCGACGAUGGGUAGCCGGACUGAGAGGUUGAACGGCCACAUUGGGACUGAGACACGGCCCAGACUCCUACGGGAGGCAGCAGUGGGGAAUAUUGCGCAAUGGGGGAAACCCUGACGCAGCAACGCCGCGUGAUUGAAGAAGGCCUUCGGGUUGUAAAGAUCUUUAAUCAGGGACGAAGGAAGUGACGGUACCUGAAGAAUAAGCUCCGGCUAACUACGUGCCAGCCGCCGCCGUAAAAC